rnacentral:rRNA from 1 species
AUUGAACGCUGGCGGCAGGCCUAACACAUGCAAGUCGAGCGGAGCGGCGGACGGGUGCGUAAUGCCUAGGAAUCUGCCUGGUAGCGGGGGAUAACGUCCGACAACGGGCGCUGAUACCGCAUACUAUCAGAUGAGCCUAGGUCGGGUUAGCUAGUGGGUGGGGUAAAGGCCUACCAAGGCGACGAUCCGUAACUGGUCUGAGAGGAUGAUCAGUCACACUGGAACUGAGACACGGUCCAGACUCCUACGGGAGGCAGCAGUGGGGAAUAUUGGACAAUGGGCGAAAGCCUGAUCCAGCCAUGCCGCGUGUGUGAAGAAGGUCUUCGGAUUGUAAAGCACUUUAAGUUGGGAGGCGUUACCCGCAGAAGAAGCACCGGCUAACUCCGUGCCAGCAGCCGCGGUAAUAC